rnacentral:lncRNA from 1 species
UGUCUUUAAUGAAUAAUAAAUUAUUUUUAUCUACUGUAUUAACUUAAAACCUCUUGGAUCUUUUUGUGUUUAUACAAUUUCUACUUUCUCUCUUGUGUUUACUUGUGAUUAUCUCAUUUAUAAGCUUGAUUAUGGUUCAAGUUAUCAUGAGUUUAUGAUUUGUGAGUACACCUCUUAAAUCUUUGGGCUAUAUAGAUUUAGGGUGAUCAGUGAAGAGUUAAGCUUUUUAGUGUUAAACUUGCUCGUUUCUGUACAUGUUAAGUGUUCUUAAUGCUAGUUUAGGUUCGAUCACUCUCAUCUAGACUCUAAAGAUAUUUUAUGAAAUGAAGAUGUUUCUUGAAAUAGUUGAAUGAAUUUAGUUUUUGCUCUAGCACGAUUAACCAAAGGAAAGGAAUUUGAUAUUAUGAUUGCUAGAAAUAUUAAGAUUUAUAGAUGGUUAGUAGACUUAAUCAACUGCAUGUUUGAUUGUAUAGACCAAAGAAAUUUGAUGUUUAAUGCUUGAUCGUUUAAGGGUUUCUAUCAUGGAAAUGAAUUACUCUAUCUUGGUUGGUUGUUUGCUUGGUUGUUUGGUUGGUACCUUGACUUGGAACUAAUCUUUAAAUCAAUUAUCGAAUUCCCAUUGGUUCAUCUUAUAAGUAAUUGAUUGAAAGCCAUUUACUUUACUAAUCUUUACUCGUCUUGUUUGACUAGACAGUCUAGUUACUUGGUUACUUAUAAACACUUUGAUUGUGUUUAGAUUAAAACAUGUCUUGAUUAGAAUUAUCUUAGAUUGAUUUGACACCUCUUUUAUGCUACAAUAACUAUUGAGCUUGGAAUUAGGCUACAAAAGAAUGUUUACUGCACAUCAUGUAUCCUUUAAGCCGGGAUGUAAACGAUGUAAACCAAGACUUAGAAACCGAGUCAGAAAUCAAGCUAACGCUUAAUUCAACUUAGUUGGUUUGGUUCUCUAUAUAUCUAAAAGGUGAAAACCAAUCAUACUACCAAAAAUAUUAGAAAAUUG